UAUUAAUCAUGCAUUUAACUGCAUCCAUAUAUUCUGCCAACAAUGCCUUACUCUAUACUGUAUAAUGGCAUUUUGAAUCAAUCCAUUUUUAAAACAGCUUAUAAAGUUGGUUUAAGCAUACUGAGAAUUUGAUAUUUUUGACUGAUAUGAUUGUUUCAUAUCUGCAAAGUAGUUAAAACGCUGUCAGUGCCACUUUAAGCAUCAAAAUACAACAACUUGCCUAGCUAACAGCUAAAUGUUUUUUUACUUCUAAUUCUAAUUUCGAGGCUCCACAUGUGAUCAUGGAAAAUAUUACUUUAAUGUUAUUUCCAACAACCAACUCCGCCGUAAAUCAAGCUGCACGUUGAGUUUGCCGAAUGGUAAGUCACCUUGGCAAUGGCAAGGAGUGGAAUGUUAGCUAAAGACUGGUACCCAGAAUAGUGGUAACUAGUGACAACCUGCCCAAACGCUUGAUGUUGUUAGACGUGACGUAGAGUCCUAUACCAAUGGGGCUUUAGAUGAGACGGAUAACGAAGAAAGCUGGGAGAACUGUGCCUGCUGUCAGAAUGGGUUGCCAAGCAGGAGCCAUUUGCAGGAAAUACUGUAGGCCUCAAUGGUCGCUAGCCAAAUGUAGUGGACCUUACUGUAAGUACAUAGUCAAGAUACAGCUGUCCAUUGUCCAGGUGAGGGAGCUAUAGACCAACAUCAGACCAUAUCUUAAGCCAGCAGAACUAUCUGCAUCGACUGGGAUGCAGUGGAGAGGAACUUUUAAGUUCCUCAGCGUGCACGUCAGAGGAGCUGACAUGGACCAAUCUCACUGACACCAUGGUGUAGAAGGCACAACAACUCCCCUUCAACCUCCGGCAUGGAGCCUCAGAUCCUCAAGAAGUUCAACAGCUGCACCAUCGAGAGCAUCUUGACGGGCUGCAUCACUGCUUGGUAUGGCAACUACACUUUCCUCAACCACAAGGCUCUACAGAGGGUGGUGUGGAUAGCCAAAUACAUCAUUGGGGGCGAGCUCCUUGCAGGACAUUCACCUCCCUGACCAAGGCCCUUCUCCCCCCGAUUGCUCAGUUUGGCUGGGCGGCCAGCUCUAGGAAGAGUCUUGGUGGUUCCAAACUUCUUACAUUUAAGAAAGAUGGAGGGCACUAUGUUCUUGAGGACUUUUAAUGCUGCAGACAUUUUUAGGUACCCUUCCUCAGAUCAGUUUCUCAACAUGACCAAAGUGUCUCCUCCCCUUCAUCUACACUGAUUUGAAGUGCAUUUAGUGACAUCAAUAAGGGAUCAUAGCUUU